CCGGCCUGAGAGGGCGACCGGCCACACUGGGGACUGAGACACGGCCCAGACUCCUACGGGAGGCAGCAGUGGGGAAUAUUGCACAAUGGGCGAAAGCCUGAUGCAGCGACGCCGCGUGAGGGAUGACGGCCUUCGGGUUGUAAACCUCUUUCAGCAGGGAAGAAGCGAAAGUGACGGUACCUGCAGAAGAAGCGCCGGCUAACUACGUGCCAGCAGCCGCGGUAAUACGUAGGGCGCGAGCGUUGUCCGGAAUUAUUGGGCGUAAAGAGCUCGUAGGCGGCUUGUCACGUCGGUUGUGAAAGCCCGGGGCUUAACCCCGGGUCUGCAGUCGAUACGGGCAGGCUAGAGUUCGGUAGGGGAGAUCGGAAUUCCUGGUGUAGCGGUGAAAUGCGCAGAUAUCAGGAGGAACACCGGUGGCGAAGGCGGAUCUCUGGGCCGAUACUGACGCUGAGGAGCGAAAGCGUGGGGAGCGAACAGGAUUAGAUACCCUGGUAGUCCACGCCGUAAACGGUGGGCACUAGGUGUGGGCGACAUUCCACGUCGUCCGUGCCGCAGCUAACGCAUUAAGUGCCCCGCCUGGGGGAGUACGGCCGCAAGGCUAAAACUCAAAGGAAUUGACGGGGGGCCCGCACAAGCGGCGGGAGCAUGUGGGCUUAAUUUCGACGCAACGCGAAAGAACCUUACCAAGGCUUUGACAUACACCCGGAAAAGCAUCAGAAGAUGGUGGCCCCCCUUUGUGGGUCGGGUGUACAGGGUGGUGGCAUGGCUUGUCGUCCAGCUCGUGGUCCUGAGAAAUGGUUGGGGUUUAAGUCCCCGCAAACGAAGCCGCAACCCCUUUGUCCCCGGUGUUGGCCCAGCAGGCCCUUUGUGGUGGCUUGGGGA
rnacentral:rRNA from 1 species